rnacentral:lncRNA from 1 species
CAACAUUGACGGACUGAUGGCUUUGCCCUGCAGUUGCCUAAUCCAAUGAAAGAACAUAGAAUAUUCGAGAAAGGGCUGAGGACAACUAGAACAUGGCGUUCUCCUGGCAACUCUGAUGGGCUCAGGGAUGGCCACGGACCUAAGCAGGCCAAUCAGAGCCAAUAACUUUCAAUUCUGGGACUUCCUUCUGUUUGAGGCCUUGAGGAGACCCCAUGAGGAAGAUACCAUAAUUUGUGCUCUUUCACAGAUGAGGGAACUGAGGCACAAUGGGGCGCUGGGGCGAUGAAGACUGAACUGGGUUAAUAUAAUCCUCCAGUGACUCAUCCGGGGAGAGGACCUGUGAUGGAUCAUUAAGCUGUCUUGGAACUGAUUUCAGGCCCACGCCCCCAAGAUGAAUGUUCUCAAUUUGUUUAUCGGGUCCCCAACAAUAGGCCACUAUUCUUCCCCACAACUCGGUUGCACAAUCUUUCCCCUCGUGUCUUUCAGCCACCUACUGAAAAUCUGUCUGUGCACUGAGCACGCGCUCCGCAUCCCUCUACCAAAUGCCCACCCGGCACUUCAUCCCCUGUCUUUGAUGGGGAUGCUCACCAUCUUCUUGACAAGCUCGACUCUGCUCACCAGGAUCCCCCUAAAAUGGAGGCACUCGUUCUCCCUCCUGAGCCCUCAUGCGGGCAGAUUUUGUUCUCUCUCCCUCCUAAAUCUUCUCACCCUCCCCAGCUCCAAACUGGCUCUAGACCUCUGAAUUCU